AUUGAACGCUGGCGGCAGGCCUAACACAUGCAAGUCGAACGAGUGGCGGACGGGUGAGUAAUGUCUGGGAAACUGCCUGAUGGAGGGGGAUAACUACUGGAAACGGUAGCUAAUACCGCAUACCAUCGGAUGUGCCCAGAUGGGAUUAGCUAGUAGGUGGGGUAACGGCUCACCUAGGCGACGAUCCCUAGCUGGUCUGAUGGGAUGACAAGCCACACUGGAACGGAGACACGGUCCAGACUCCUACGGGAGGAAGCAGGGGGGAAUAUUGCACAAUGGGCGCAAGCCUGAGGCAGCCAUGCCGCGUGUAUGAAGAAGGCCUUCGGGUGGUAAAGUACUUUCAGCGGGGAGGCGUUACCCGCAGAAGAAGCAACGGCUAACUCCGUGCCAGCAGCCGCGGUAAUAC
rnacentral:rRNA from 1 species